UGGGUCUCAGAGGUUAAAAUGGUUUUCAUAAUAAUACUAGCAUGCCAUUUCCCUUUUUCACUCUCAUUUCAAAAAUGUUCUGUG